rnacentral:rRNA from 1 species
AGCGAACGCUGGCGGCAGGCCUAUCACAUGCAAGUCGAACGAACUCUUCGGAGUUAGUGGCGGACGGGUGAGUAACACGUGGGAACGUGCCUUUAGGUUCGGAAUAACUCAGGGAAACUUGUGCUAAUACCGAAUGUGCCCUUCGGGGGAAAGAUUUAUCGCCUUUAGAGCGGCCCGCGUCUGAUUAGCUAGUUGGUGGGGUAAUGGCCCACCAAGGCUACGAUCAGUAGCUGGUCUGAGAGGAUGACCAGCCACAUUGGGACUGAGACACGGCCCAAACUCCUACGGGAGGCAGCAGUGGGGAAUCUUGCGCAAUGGGCGAAAGCCUGACGCAGCCAUGCCGCGUGGAUGAUGAAGGUCUUAGGAUUGUAAAAUCCUUUCACCGGUGAAGAUAAUGACUGUAGCCGGAGAAGAAGCCCCGGCUAACUUCGUGCCAGCAGCCGCCGUAAGAC